rnacentral:lncRNA from 1 species
GUGGUUCAUUUCAGGGGCUGGGGUGGGCUUGGUGUCGGGAUGCAGAUCCUGGGGGGGGGAGCCACAUGUGGCUGUUUGUUUAAACAAGAACCAAUUUGAAUGAAAAGACAUGAAAAGCUUCUUGGCUGCACUGACGCUGUCUUUGGUGGUCAACAGUCAGACAAGGUCAGUGGGCUGCUGUAUUCGGCUGGCCCGCAUCCGUCAGUGCGGAAAGUUCUCUCGGCCAGACUGGAGCUGGAGAUCACCCAAGGUGGCAGAGUAGAGAGCCCCUGAGCUCACCUCCUCUCACGAGCCCACCAGUAGCACAGUGAAAGAGACCGAACCUACCAAGAAGAUCUACAACCAAAGACAUGCAGAAGGAACCACAGUGAGACAGUUAAGAGGGGUGGACUUGCUGUAUAGUCGGGCCCACAUCCCCAGGUGGGUGACCCACAAACAAGAAAAACUAACGUGGUAGAGGUUCUCCCACAGGAGGGAGAGUUCUGAGCCCCACAUCAGGCCCCCCACUCCCCCCCGCUCAGGGGUCCUACCCUGGGAAAAUGCACCCCCAGAGCAUUUGGCUUUGAAGGCCAGUGGGGCUUAAUUUCAGGAGUUCCACAGGACUGGGGGGAAGAAAGACUUCCCUCUUAAAGGGCACACACAAAGUCUCCCACGCUCCGGGACCCGGGGCCAAAGCUGUAGUUUCCUGGGAUCUUGGGCCAGACCUACCUGCUGGUCUUCCAAAGUCUCCUGGAGAGGUGGGAAGCAGCUACGGCUCGCCCUGGGGACACAGACACUGGCGGCGGCCGUUCCUGGGCCUCCUGCGUGUGUAUGCUGGGGCUGGCAGGUACCGCUGUGGGAUCCUCCCUCUAGCUCCUCCGGCGCCAAGACCGGGCCCACCCAGCAGCCUGUAGGCACCGGUGCUGGGACCCCUUGGCCGAACAGGGCUUGAGACACAGCCCCACCCAGCAGCAGACAGGCUGCCUGGAGACUGCCUGAGGACACAACCCUGCCCACCAGACGGCCCAGGACUCAGCUCCAGCCCCCAGUGAGUGGGCACCAGCCCCAGGCCCUGCCACCCCCACCAGGGGGCACACGCCAGAUGCAAGAGAACUCCAAUUCCUCAUCCUGCCCAUGGCACGCCAGACCUUCUCGCCCUGGGACGAGCUGGCCCCUGGCCACUAGCAGGCCAGCACACGCUUCAGGACACCCCGCACCCAACUGCAUUAGGAACAACCUGACCGCCCCCAGCCCAGUGAUCUUACACCAGCUCUGGGACCUCUGGGUCCUGCAACCAGGCUUAGGACCCAGCUCUGCCUGCCAGCAGUCUGGCACUAACCCCAGGACCCCCCAGUGGGCAAGCAACUGCCCCGGAGUCUCCUGGACCCUGACUUCACCCACCAGUGAGCCAGCACUAGCCCCGGGGCCCCCUGGAGCUCUGCACUCGGCCACCCUGUGACCGGGCCCUGCCAAGCGGCAGCCAGCAGCCUCCACGUGAGACAGAGCCUGGCAACCAACUGGGCGAGGGCCCCGCGAGCCUGCCCACAGCCCGCCGCCACAGCAAGACCCACACAGCCUUCACGGGGGAAACCCUAGAGCAUACAGCUUGGGUGACGAGGGGAGUGCACCGCUGGGAUGCAUGGGACAUCUACGAAAGGCCACUUCCCCAAGGUCGGGAAACAUAAGCAACCUACCAGAUACAUAAAAAUACAAACAGCAGCUUAGGCAAGAUGAGGCCACAGAGGCACGUGUUCCAGAUGAAGGAACAAGAUAAAAGCCCAGAAGAAGAGCUAAGUGAAGUGGAGAUCGGCAAUCUACCCGAGAAGGAGUUCCGGGUAGUGACUAACGAGGAUCAAAAAACUCAGGAGAAGAACGGACGCGCAGUGCAAGAAAUGAGAAGCUUUUAACAGAAAAUAUAAAGCACGACCAGAGGUGAAGAGUAACAUGAAAAAUAUACCAGAAGGAAUCAACAGGAGACUAAAUGAUACAGAGAAACAGGUCAAUGAGCUGGAAGACAAGAGUAGUGGAAACCACUGAUGGUGAGAGAAAAAACAAUGAAAAGAAAUGAGGACAGUUUAAGAGGCCUCUGGGACAACAUCAAGCAUGUUAAUAUUCACAUUGCAGGGGUCCCAGAAGGAGAAGAGACAGAAAGGGGUUGAGAACAUAUCUGAAAACUUCCCUAACCUGGAAAAGGAAACAGUCAUACAAGUCCAGAAAGCACAGAGUCCAACACAGGAUUAACCCAAAGAGGAACACACCAAGACACGUUGUAAUUAAAACAGCAAAAAUUAGAGAUUAUUAAAAGCAGCAAGGGAAAAACAACAACAUACAAGGGAACCCCGGAACUCCCAUAAGGCUAUCAGCUGGCUUUUCAGCCGAACGCCUACAGGCCAGAAGGGAGUGGCACAACAUAUCUACAGUGAACAAGAAAAACCUACAGCCAAGAAGACUCUACCUAGCAAGGCUCUCGUUCAGACUGGAUGCAGAAACAAAGCUUUACAGACAAGCAAAGCUAAAGAGUUCACCACCAAACAAGCUUUAUAACAAAUGUUAAAGAAACCUCUAAGUGAACAAGAAAAGGCCACAACU